CCUACGGGUGGCUGCAGUAAGGAAUAUUGGACAAUGGGCGCAAGCCUGAUCCAGCCAUGCUGCGUGCAGGAUGACGGCCCUAUGGGUUGUAAACUGCUUUUAUACGGGAAAAAACCCCUCUACGUGUAGAGGGCUGAUGGUACCGUAAGAAUAAGGAUCGGCUAACUCCGUGCCAGCAGCCGCGGUAAUACGGAGGAUCCGAGAGUUAUCCGGAUUUAUUGGUUUUAAAGGGUACGUAGGAGGCUUUGGUGAAAUCCUGCAGCUUAACUGUAGAACUGCCAUUGAUACUGCAAGUCUUGAGUACAUAUGAUGUGGGCGGAAUGUGUAGUGUAGCGGUGAAAUGCUUAGAUAUUACACAGAACACCAAUUGCGAAGGCAGCUCACAAAACUGUAACUGACGCUGAGGCACGAAAGCGUGGGGAGUGAACAGGAUUAGAUACCCCGGUAGUC
rnacentral:rRNA from 1 species